rnacentral:rRNA from 1 species
UACGGAGGAUCCGAGCGUUAUCCGGAUUUAUUGGGUUUAAAGGGUGCGCAGGCGGGAUGUUAAGUCGGCGGUGAAAUUUUGCAGCUCAACUGUAAAAGUGCCUUCGAAACUGGUUUCCUUGAGUGUAGAUGAAGUAGGCGGAAUUUGUGGUGUAGCGGUGAAAUGCAUAGAUAUCACGAGGAACUCCGAUUGCGCAGGCAGCUUACUAAACUACUACUGACGCUCAGGCACGAAGGCGUGGGGAUCAAACAGGAUUAGAUACCCCCGUAGU